UGGGGAAUAUUGGACAGUGGGGGAAACCCUGAUCCAGCAAUGCCGCGUGAGUGAAGAAGGCCUUCGGGUUGUAAAACUCUUUCAUCAACGAAGAUAAUGACAUUAAUUGAAGAAGAAGCUCCGGCUAACUUCGUGCCAGCAGCCGCGGUAAUACGAAGGGACCUAGCGUAGUUCGGAAUUACUGGGCUUAAAGAGUUCGUAGGUGGUUAAAAAAGUUGGUUGUGAAAUCCCGAAGCUUAACUUCGGAACUGCAAUCAAAACUUUUUAGCUAGAGUAUGAUAGAGGAAAGCAGAAUUUCUAGUGUAGAGGUGAAAUUCGUAGAUAUUAGAAAGAAUACCAAUUGCGAAGGCAGCUUUCUGGAUCAUUACUGACGCUGAGGAACGAAAGCAUGGGUAGCGAAGAGG
rnacentral:rRNA from 1 species